rnacentral:rRNA from 1 species
AUCUACAGCCAUGCUACCCUGAACACACCUGAUCCUGUCUGAUCUCGGAAGCUAAGCAGGGUUGGGCCUGGUUAGUACUUGGAUGGGAGACCACCUAGGAAGACCAGGUACUGUAGGCG